rnacentral:rRNA from 1 species
ACUCCUACGGGAGGCAGCAGUAGGGAAUCUUCCGCAAUGGACGAAAGUCUGACGGAGCAACGCCGCGUGAGUGAAGAAGGUUUUCGGAUCGUAAAACUCUGUUGUUAAAGAAGAACAAGGAUGAGAGUAACUGCUCAUCCCCUGACGGUAUUUAACCAGAAAGCCACGGCUAACUACGUGCCAGCAGCCGCGGUAAU